rnacentral:lncRNA from 1 species
AAAAAAAAGAAAGUGCCAAGAUCCACUUGCUGUUCUGACAGGACCCCCGAGUCUACUGUGCAGAGGAACAGUGGCGGGGAUUGGGCCAAAGACAGGAGGUGACUGUCCAGAAGGAAGUGGCCCUAACAGAGAGCAUGGACACUGUACAGGGGAAGCAAGUGUGCCCAGAGCCUGAGGUCCCAGCCCCCUCUUCUCUGAGACCCCUGGCAGAAGGAUGCUUCCUGGGGAGGGGGCUUCAUCUACACGGCUUGUGGGGGGCGCAGUGGGGCAGCACAGGGGCCCAGGUUCCAGUCCUAGCCUGGCCCGCAAUUGCUGCAUGGUUUGGGGGGAGCUGAUCCGAGCCUCAUUUCCCCAUCUGUAGAAUGGGACAAUAACUCUCCUGCCCACGUUCCCCGCAGCACCAUUCACAACAGCCAAGAUUAAGAAGCAAUCUAAGGCUGGGCGUCGUGGCUCACACCUGUAAUCCCAGCACUUUGGGAGGCUGAGGUGGGUGGGUCACCUGAGGUCAGGAGUUCGAGACCAGCCUGGCCAACAUGGUGAACCCUCAUCUCUACUAAAAAUACAAAAAUUAGCCGGGCGUGGUGGCAGAUGCCUGUAAUCCCAGCUACUUGGGAGGCUGAGGCAGGAGAAUCGCUUCAACUUGGGAGGCGGAGGUUGCAGUGAGCCGAGAUCCUGCCACUGCACUCCAGCCUGGACAACAAGAGUGAAACUCUGUCUCAAAAACAAACAAACAAACAAACAAAAAGUAAUAAAUUUAAAUGUCAUUCAUCAGUGGAUGAAUGGGUAGAGAAAAUGCAGUACCUAAACAUGAUGGAAUAUUAUUCAGCCAUAGAAGAAUGAGAUCCUUGGCCAGGUGCGGUGGCUCACACCUGCAAUCCCAGCACUUUGGGAGGACAAGGCAGGCAGAUCACCUGAGAUGAAGAAACGGAGGUGCGGAGCAGAGAAGCGACCUGGUCAAGGAACCCAGUGGCAGAGUCAGACCCCCACCUCCUCACCUGUCCCCAGAGCCUGUGCUCUUAGCCCAGCACAGCUGAAUGGGAUCCCUCCUCAUCCAACUCACCCAAAUACCUUUCAGAAGAUGUAAAGUGGCUUCUCAAAAGGAUCAAAGAGGCCAGGCACGGUGGCUCACACCUGUAAUCCCAGCACUCUGGGAAGCCGAGGCGGGUGGAUCACCUGGGGUUAGGGGUUUGAGGCCAACCUGACCAACAUGGUGAAACCUCGUGUCUACUAAAAAUACGAAAAUUAGCUGGGCGUGGCGGCAGGCACCUGUAAUCCCAACUGCCUGGAAGACUAAGGCAGAAUUCCUUGAACCUGGGAGGCAGAGGUUGCAGUGAGCUGAGAUUGUGCCAUUGCACUCUAGCCUGGGCGAUACAGUGAGACUCCGCCUCAAAAAAAAAAAAAAAAUCAGAUCAAAGAAUAAGAUAGAAUCAGGAGGCUGGGCACGGUGGCUGCUGCCUGUAAUUCUAGCACUUUGGGAAGCCAAGGCAGGAGGAUUGCUUGAGCCCAGGAGUUCCAGACCAGCCUGGGCAAUAAUGUGAGACCCUGUUUCUACAAAUAAUAAAAAUACAAAUAAUUAGCCAGGUGUGGUGGUGCAUGCCUGUGGUCCCAGCUACUUGGGAGGCUGAGCGGGAG